rnacentral:tRNA from 1 species
GGAGGGAGAUAGCGAAGCGUUGACCAAACGCGGGUGGCUGUAACCCACUUCCUCACGGUUCGGGGGUUCAGAAUCCCUCCCCCUCCACCA